rnacentral:lncRNA from 1 species
CGGGCGGGCGCGCUCGGCUUCCAGGCUCUUGCCCUCUCUCCCGGGCUGGGGAGGAACCGCCCCGCUGCCUGGGCCGCCGCCACCGCCGCCGCCGCCUCCCCAGCGCGGCCAACCCCGGGCUGGCCCAGCCCCCGCCCCGGGCCGGCCAUAGGGCGCUGGGGGGGCGGGGGGGGGGCCGGGGGCGCGGCUUUGUGGCGGCAGCGGCAGCGGACCGUGGAGGCCGGGUGCAGCCCCGUCGGCUGCGCGCUCUCUGCAGAAAAGGAUUUUCUAUGCUCCCCGCCCAUCACUUGGAUCUCGUCUGGGGAGGGGCGGAUUUUUUUUCUGGAAGUACCCUUCUUCUUCACGGUGGAGGAUUUAAGGCUGGGCUCCAAUCGAGGCGGAGGCUGCAGGGCCCGCGGGGCGCCCCCCACGCCCGGCGCACGCCUGCCUGGAGCCUGGGAAGGCGCAGCCCCGGCAGGGGGGCCGUGCACCCCAGGAGGCAGCAGCGGCGGCGUUGGAGCGUCCGCAUCCCCGCCCCCACCCCGGAAAGCCCGCUCGGGAAACUGACUCGCUGCGUGACCCCGAUCUCAAUGCCGCGCGCGGAGCAGGCCGGCCGCGCCCGCCGCUCCACGUGCGCCCGGGCCCCGCUGGCAUGGGCGGCGGCGCCUGCGGGGGCCGAGCCCCGGGGAUUCCGGACCAGCCGGGAACCACAGUCCCCAGAGAGUUACCGCCGCCCCCUAAAUAAAGUUGGCUGCGCCCUCCUCCCGAGAAGCAGGCAGCCCUCGCGCAUUGGCUUUAGCUUCUGCAGGACGGGGGCAAAAAAAAACUAGGUACCAGGGUGCGGAGCGGGGUGUCUGUGCCCGAGACGACACCAAGUUAGGAAAAAGAAGUUAGAAAAAAAGAAAGAAAAGGAAAAAGGCAUUUUGAUUUGGGAGUGAGGGGAGUGGCGUUUCUGGUUUCUCUUUGCUUCCAAUCCCCACCAAGCGGAGCGUUGGAAUGCGCCGCUCAUGUCCUCUGAGGACACAUCCAUAUUUAUAAUUUAUUUUUAGGAGAAGUUGUGAAAAAGGGAGGGGGGUUAAAAUGAAGAGAAAAGGUGCGUGGGGGAGUGGCCUUUCCAGAACCUAGAGGCUAAUUGAGCUAUUAAAAUGGAAAUCACUUCCCCCAAUUUGGGCGCGCAGCAAAUUUGACUUUAAUGAGAGACGAUUAAGGACACAAAUAACCAAACUUUUUUUAGCUGGAGGUGGCGUGAGGGGGUGGGUGGACUGUACGAGACACCUCGGACACCCGAUUUAAUCGCUGCUGAGGGACGUUGGGGGCACCCCCUCGUGUUCUCCGGGAAGCUUUCAGGCCUGUUUACUGGGCGAGAUUGGUGAUUGCUCCCUGAGGGAAGAGACACCCCGGGAUCAAGCGAUUCUCCUGCCCUCAGCCAUGGGGUGGGCAAAUGCCCCCUCCUCCCAUAGCGACCCCCUGGCAUUUUGGUGAGGUGAACCGCCGCCCCGAGGGAACACCCAGUAACGAUUCCUUCAGCGAUCCGGGACUCUCCAAACUCCUGCCUCAAAGGCGGCCUGCCCCGGUGCUGUCAGCCGUGAAUGGGGACUCACUUCUUAGGAAAAGAGGUUUUGGAGGCUGUGGUCUCAGAAUCGGGGUUUUGAGGGCGAGAUGAGUUUAUGUUUUAUCCAACUGGCCCUCAAAGUCCCGCUUUUGGGGUCAUUCUGGACAGCGAGGGACUCAGGCCCAGGCAGUCCCAGGAGGGUGAGGGCAGAGAGCUACUACCCCCAGGGAACGCAUCUAAAACCCGGCUGCGUGGCGGAGCUGGGG